rnacentral:rRNA from 1 species
GGUAGUCCACCGCCGUAAACGAUGUCUACUAGCUGUUCGCGCCCUUGUGUUGUGAGUAGCGCAGCUAACGCAUUAAGUAGACCGCCUGGGGAGUACGGUCGCAAGAGUAAAACUCAAAUGAAUUGACGGGGGCCCGCACAAGCGGUGGAGCAUGUGGUUUAAUUCGACGCAACGCGAAGAACCUUACCUACUCUUGACAUCUACAGAAGAACGCAGAGAUGUGUUUGUGCCUUCGGGAACUGUAAGACAGGUGCUGCAUGGCUGUCGUCAGCUCGUGUUGUGAAAUGUUGGGUUAAGUCCCGCAACGAGCGCAACCCUUAUCCUUAGUUGCCAGCGAUUCGGUCGGGAACUUAGGGAGACUGCCGGUGAUAAACCGGAGGAAGGUGGGGACGACGUCAAGUCAUCAUGGCCCUUACGAGUAGGGCUACACACGUGCUACAAUGGUAUGUACAGAGGGAGGCAAGCUGGCGACAGUGAG